AUUGGACCUGAAAAUGCCACCAACUUGUUAAUUGGACACUAUUCAAACCUACAAUUGAUGCAGUGAUCAAGUGGCCCAAUAUUUUUGUCGGCUUGUCCCGCAGGCAGGUCUUCCGUGUUCCUGUGUGAUGCAAUAGAAAAUCCCGCAGACAGGCAGACGCCAAAAAGGCGGAGACAUCUUGCAAGAAACUGCGACGCACUUUCAACUGAGAGAUGACGUCAUGUCUGCUGGCCUACGUCCUUUGUCCCCACCAGGAUUUGGAUCAGCGUUGGCCUCUGUGUCAG